CCAGACUCCUACGGGAGGCAGCAGUGGGGAAUAUUGCACAAUGGGGGAAACCCUGAUGCAGCGACGCCGCGUGAGUGAAGAAGUAAUUCGUUAUGUAAAGCUCUAUCAGCAGGGAAGAAACAGACGGUACCUGAGUAAGAAGCCCCGGCUAACUACGUGCCAGCAGCCGCGGUAAUACGUAGGGGGCAAGCGUUAUCCGGAUUUACUGGGUGUAAAGGGAGCGUAGACGGCGAAGAAAGUCUGAAGUGAAAGCCCGCGGCUUAACCGCGGAACUGCUUUGGAAACUGUGCUGCUGGAGUGCAGGAGAGGCAAGUGGAAUUCCUAGUGUAGCGGUGAAAUGCGUAGAUAUUAGGAGGAGCACCGGUGGCGAAGGCGGCCUGCUGGACUGCGACUGACGUUGAGGCCCGAAAGCGUGGGGAGCAAACAGGAUUAGAUACCCCGGUACCC
rnacentral:rRNA from 1 species